ACUAGAUAUCUACCAGCUAUUUUAGCUGAGAUAAGAAUGAAUCCCCACAAGGUGACUAAAUUAUCUCCAUCUGAGAUUUUUGAUGGGAUGACCUUUUCCCACACCCUGGGCCAGGGAACCGCUUGUUAUAAUGUCUGGGGAUUUACAGCUAAUACAAGAACAAUAUGUACAGGAAUUGUUGAUAAAACCGAAUGGUAUGUAUGACAAUGUUUCUUCGCAGUUUUCCCUUACCUUCACAGGAACCUACUCAUUCAUACCAGCCCGGUGACAAGGUGUAUAUCCGUCAGCUGAACAGGACCAAGAAAGGAGGAUACCCUUUUGGACCACCUGCUACUGUGAUUGCUGUACCCAGAACCGCUGUCCUCACAGAUUCCCAUGACAUCUGGAUUCACGCAUCCCGAGUGAAGCUGUGUCCAAAGAGGGGAACCAAGGAAGACAACACCACUCCUCGCUCGGAAACAGAAGAAUUUCUCCUCAGCGAAGCAUCAUGGCUUUCACACCAUAUCGUAGAUUGAGAGGAUCAUACGUACCUGAGACCAAGAUUAUGUUGUGCGCUAUGCUUUCUGGAGUUGUUAUACUCCCUCUGAUAUUGUUCCUUGAAUGCCAUUAUGAGUACAAGUCAAUGGCAAGUUCUGGAAAAAGACUCUGACAUGAUGAACAAUUCUUCAAUACCCCCAGCCCAAUUAGGCCUUAGCCCCUCAUCUAGCAUUCGUCACACACGCCCCCUCAAGAACCUUUCUCCACCACCUUUCUAUCAGCAUGUAAUAUGCAAUCAUUCAUUCACUGAACGCAUUUGGAUGAAUUGGACAAAUAGUAACCCUUAUAAGUACCAGUUACCCAUAUGAAAUGUGUCUACAGCUAAUGAAACCGAUGCAUUAUGUUUGUUUAAAGGUUCACAGAAAAUUGUUAGAUCUUAUAACGCAGAAAUGUGCACAGUUAAGGUUGCAUAUCAAUGUAAAUAGACAGGCCUUAUUACUUUUAAUAAUGAUUAUAUAAUUGGUAUCAUUAAUUGGAGAAGGGGAC